GAUGAACGCUAGCGGAAGGCUUAAUACAUGCAAGUCGAACGAGAACGGAAUAUAGCUUGCUAUAUUUGUCAGCUAAGUGGCGCACGGGUGAGUAAUGUAUAGAUAACCUGCCCUUAAGAAAGGAAUAACAGUUGGAAACGACUGCUAAUGCCCUAUAUGCCUUUAAUACAUAAGUAUGCAAGGGAAACGCUUUAGUGCUUAAGGAUGGGUCUGUAUGGUAUCAGCUUGUUGGUGAGGUAAUGGCUCACCAAGGCUAUGACGCCUAACUGGUUUGAGAGGAUGAUCAGUCACACUGGAACUGAGACACGGUCUAGACUCCUACGGGAGGCAGCAGUGGGGAAUAUUGCACAAUGGACGAAAGUCUGAUGCAGCAACGCCGCGUGGAGGAUGACACAUUUCGGUGCGUAAACUCCUUUUAUAUAGGAAGAUAAUGACGGUACUAUAUGAAUAAGCACCGGCUAACUCCGUGCCAGCAGCCGCGGUAA
rnacentral:rRNA from 1 species